rnacentral:rRNA from 1 species
UACGUAGGCAGCGAGCGUUGUUCGGAUUUACUGGGCGUAAAGGGUGUGUAGGCGGUUUUCUAAGUUUGGUGUGAAAUCUCCCGGCUUAACCGGGAGGGUGCGCCGAAAACUGGGAGACUAGAGUGCGGGAUGGGAGAGUAGAAUUCCUGGUGUAGCGGUGAAAUGCGUAGAUAUCAGGAGGAAUACCGGUGGUGUAGACGGCUCUCUGGACCGCAACUGACGCUGAGACACGAAAGCGUGGGUAGCAAACAGG